UACGUAGGGGGCGAGCGUUGUCCGGAAUGAUUGGGCGUAAAGGGCGUGUAGGCGGCCUGGUAAGUCUGGAGUGAGAGUCCCGUUUUCAAGGUGGGAAUUGCUUUGGAUACUGUCAGGCUUGAGUGCAGGAGAGGUUAUCGGAAUUCCCGGUGUAGCGGUGAAAUGCGUAGAGAUCGGGAGGAACACCAGUGGCGAAGGCGGGUAACUGGACUGCAACUGACGCUGAGGCGCGAAAGUGUGGGGAGCAAAC
rnacentral:rRNA from 1 species